AUUUUGGACAAUGGGGGAAACCCUGAUCCAGCCAUGCCGCGUGUAUGAUGAAGGCNUUNNGGUUGNANAGUACUUUUGGCAGANNNNNAAAGGUAUCUCNUAAUACGAUAUACUGCUGACGGUAUCUGCAGAAUAAGCACGGGCUAACUACGUGCCGUCAGCCGCGGUAAUACGUAGGGUGCAAUCGUUAAACGGAAUUACUGGGCGUAAAUCAUGUGGAGGAGGGUCGGAAAGAAAGAGUGGAAAAACCAGGGCGCAACCUUGGAACAGGAUUUUUAACAGCCGAGCUAGAGUAUGUCAGAGGGGGGUAGAAUUCCACGGGUAGAAGUGAAAUGCGUAGAUAUGUGGAGGAAUACCGAUGGCGAAGGCAGCCCCCUGGGAUAAUACUGACGCUCAGACACGAAAGCGUGGGGAGCAAACA
rnacentral:rRNA from 1 species